UGUGUUAGAGUUGCCUGCAAUAUCUGAAUAUUUGCUGUCAGCUGAAGACUUCAGUUUACAGUCAGGAUCUAAUUCUAGCUUUUAUCUGAGAGGGAAAUGGGAAAAAAAGAGCUUGGAGGCAAUAGUAUGCAGAGAAAAUGUCUUCUUGUCUCACAUACCACGUCCUGGGAUUUGCUGGUAUUUAAAGCUUGAAACAUUUUAUUUUCUAUAGGUUUACUGUAGAGGAUUGAAACUUGAUACAAAUACAUUAUGUUAAAUACUUGAAGUUCUCCUUUGAGAAUAAAACACAGGAGCCUGGAUUAAUCACUGACUGCCAUGCACAAUUUUUUGCAUGUCUUUUGUUCUUAGUCUAUGUUCUAACAGGCUUUUCUUAACAUACCAUUCCCUAAAAUAUUAAUAAGAGGAGAGUAUGCAAAGCGGAGGAGUACACUGUAACUUGCAGUGGUUCAUAAUGUCAGACAGCUGCCUGCAAGAAGUCGGCUUGGCAAGAUGAGAAAAAGGUCCUUAAAAAGAGCCAGAAUGCAAUAAUUUGGUUCUCUUCUCCAUUACUCACCAAAAGGAGAUUCAUCCUGUGCUCCAUACACUACGGCUGGCAGCUUUUAACGUCACCAGCUCUGGGGUGCUUUUGAGAGCACUGCCUUGUAUGCCACCACUGAAUGGGCUGGGAACAGCAGGCUUCAUCCUUUUCAAGUCAAAUGCUUUCUUCUUCCCUACUGAAAGUAGAGUUACUUUCCCUUACAUUUAGAGAACAUCUGGGAUUUCUGGACCCCAGGUGCAAUACAACAGCAAGGUAUAUGUACUGCCUUAAAACCUUGGAAGGAUAAGGGCUAAUUUCCAGGUGGUUCAUUAUAACAGGAAGUCAUCUAAAUGUGUUCUGAAAUACUGGACAUGCCAUUGCUCUGCAUAUGUCUGGUGGGCCCUUCUUCCUGGAACAAUGAAUUCCUCCUUCAGUGCUUGCAGCCAAAAUUUCUGCUUUUCCUUUGAUGGGCAGAAAGCUGUUUCAUUCUUCCAACACAAGGGUGGCUAAUUUAGUAUGGGUUUGGUGAGCAACUUGGAGUACUUUGCAUUGCAACUGAUGAUGUACACAACUUAAACGAACUAUGUUAGAGCUACAAAGGAAGGAAAGGUAUUUAUUCCAGUCACUGCAAUAAAACUGGAUUUAUUCCACACCCCACUUUUAGACAAGCUAGAUACUGGGGUAGAUGAGCGUGGGUCCUGGCCCAGGGCUGCACCGUGAGGUCCCUUUCAGGGCUGUCGCUGUCAGUGCUGGCUGGCUCCCUGCCAGGCUGGAAACUGGAGCAGGAGGCAGCUGAAAUGGUUUGAAAACUCAUUUUUCCCAGCAGCGAGAACUGUGCUGCUAAUCAAGAAAAACACAGGAGAUGUACUGGAUUCCUUAUGUGAGCAGGUCUCCAGCACUGAAAUUGUAUUUUAAGCUUGUGCUUGUUUUUAGCGUGUUGUUGUCAAACCUAUGCUAAAGCAAUUACUGCCGGUGAGGGUCACCAGGAGUUCAGUGUUACUGAAAACCUUACAGCACUGCUACGAAGGGCCUGCACAGCCAGGCAGAGCAGUCUGCGCAGGCAUUGUCGUUGAAAGAAAAAGCAGAUUCUUGCCUUCCUUCUGCCUGUUUUGUUUGUUUUUAAUGAGAAGCACGUUUGAGCCCUUUUCUUUAAUUACUCCAAUGUCACCCUGCUGAAAAGCCCGGCCUGCUGCAAGCACCCCAGCACAAACCCUGCCCUGCCCUAGUGUGCCCUGACAGCUCUGUCCUGAGCUCAGCUGGGUGGUCAGGGGCCGAGCGAGCUGCUGGUGCCUUCCAGAGUAGCCCACUGAGACGGGCUCUGUAUUCCCAUACCUUCUGAGGUGGAUGAUGUAAGACAGAAACAAGCUAAAGACAAAAGAACCAAACCCAGUCACCUAAGGGAACCCCUCUCGCGUGUCCUUCCCCCUCAAUCAGCUGGUGGCUUCAAGCUGCUCCAUUUCUGUCUGGCCAAAGCGGUAGGUGUGAGUUUGUGCUGCUCCAGUGCUCCUGUUGCUACUCUGUGAGCAUGGUCCCAGGGAAGGACCGCUGACUUCAUGCAGCUUCAUGUUAAUUUUCCCAUUUUCUAACUGAUAACAAACUCAUUUCUUAAAUAACAUCAUUUUUACAUUUAGACGAGUUAAGAGACUAAUUUUUCUACUCAGUCCAUUGGCUGGGGAAUUAGUAAGUAAUGCAAGGCAGCUGUUCCUGCAUUAUCAUUUUAAAGCGCUAAUGCUGAGAACUUUAUACAUACAAAGACAGAAGCCUGUGCUAGGAAGGAGUGUGGGACAAACAGUGGAGAUCCUGCCUGUCUCUUCAAGGUGAAGAUGAGGACUUCUCUGAAGGUAUGGCAGAGCACCACAGCCUCUCCACCACAGAAGGACUCAACAACCAAACUGACCCUGAUCAAAGUCACCCCAGAUACAAUCGCAGCAUGCAUUUGAACCCAGCAGUGCCCGGACACGCCUUCCUGCUCCUGCUGAGCAGCUCCUGGUGCAUGGGCGCCUCUGCCAUGCCACAGUGAGGAUCAACGAGGGUCGGAAAGCCACCAACCUCAGUCUCAGGAGUGAAUUCAGUCUGCCGCCCUGGAUUAGCAAACUGAAGAGACUUCAGAGCCUUAGCUGUACGUCCCUGAACAGACAGAAAAUCUCACUUCAUUAUGAAUACAAAGAUCUACAGUAGGAACAGCGGAGGCACUAAGAGUCCUGAAUGUGGAGGGACAAGGUGAAAACGCCUGGGUAUGAGAAGAAAAGCAAGUAUCAUUCUGAAAAGAAAAUAAGGUUAGUUUCGUUUUUCUUUUUUCCACUUUAUCUGUACAGAAAGACUUAAGUCAACAAGUUAAUAGCUAAGGCUUAUUUAACGUUGAUUUCUCAGGUCAAAACCGAAACCCUUUUUUUAAGGACUGUUUUUAAGGACUACAACUAGCCCAGUCCUAAAUCGCGAGCUGAUCUGAGCUCAUCUGUGCCGUGGUUUCUGUGUCCUAAGUCAGUUAACAAAGACCUCUCCUUGACGUCUGGGCCUUGCACAGCUCUUCAGACGCACACUGAAUGCUCUGGGCAGAGGACAAGGCGUGGACGUGGGUGAAGUUUUAAGCAUUUUUUCCUCGGUGCCUGCUUCCCAGCGCACCAGGCUGUGUCCCCAUGAGCAGGCGCAGGCAGCGGAACAUUUACGAGCUCUCACCGCGUGCCUGCAGCUUCCCUCUCCGUCAGAGAGCCACCCCACAACCCCCCCGCUCCCGUUAAACGCCGCUCUGCCCUCCCCAGCCGCCGCUACCUGCCAGCUGCCUCCACACCAGGCCCCCCGCGCCUCAGCGCCGCUCGGCCGCUUCCAUCCGGCACCGCCUCAGCGCGGAGCGGCCGCUUCCGGCUGGCGGCGCCCCCUGGCGGAGCGGGGAGGGAGCGGGCGGCCGGCGCGUUCCCGCCUUGGGCGCGUGCUGCCGGGCUGGGCGCGAGGCGCGGCCGUUGGGCUGUGAGGCGGUCAGGGACAGCGCCCCUGCCUGUGGAGGCGGUGAGGGAAUCCAAGACGGUGGUGUCAGCGGUGCCUAAAAGAAGGCUUUAAAUAACCACUUACACUGGGACCGCCUUUUUUGCUUGGCAAAGUAGACAUCAUUGCUUCCCUGGUUCCAAAGAUGGAGUUCCUGCACUUCAUAAAGAAUCUAUCAAGUUUGUGUUGCAUAUCUUCCGAAAAAAAAGUUCCUCAAGGACAAGAGCUCAACAAAGCUAUAACUGCAAAUCUGGUGCUUGGUCCAUGCUGGAAAAAAACUUUACCUACCCUGAUACAUACAAGGAGAAAAGUUGCUUCUGGCUGCAGUUCCUUCCCUCACUUAAUUGUGACAGCUUUGCCUGAACAUGAGGAAAAACACUGGUACGACGGCAUGUAAUUUCCAAAACAAUAUUUCCUGUUUGCUCUGAAGAAAAGACAAGAAGGCAGAUGAUCCAUUCAACAGGUUAGAUCUGAUGUAGAGAGUAUAUAAGUUUAUUAUCUUAAUUGUACCUUGGUGCUCCCUAAAUGUUAUUGUAAAUGUAAAUUUAAUGUCCUGAAAUGCAGGUGUCUUUCAAAGGGGUCAUUCCCAAAGUAUUUAUAGUACUUAUAUACAUAUACCACAGUAUUAUAAACAAUUUUAAUAUUGCCCUCAUGAUACGUAUUUUACUUUCUUGAUUUCUUGCUAGUCCCAGAUUCCCACCCAGAUCAAUUUCCUUCUCGGUUGCAGCCCUCUAGAAAGGACAUUUCCAUUCUAGAAAGGUCUUCCUUAGUAAAUAUAAUACUGACAACAACAAAAAAAUUAUACAUUUAUCUUACACCAAAAUAAAACAAAAUAAAGUCUGUCAUUAGAAUCCUUCUGCACUGUUUGCUGGUUCAAAAUUAGCCACAAGAAUAGUUACCUUGAUGGAAAUCUUGAGAUAUUAUUUUUCUCCAACUUUGUAUGGCAAUAACCAUUGUUGUACCCUGCCAAGGUCAGUUAAUUCUGCCUGUUUGAUCAAGCUGGGAAUGUUUUUUUCUGUGUUAACUUUGUGCUUAAUACAUAGGUGAGAUCAGACAACAAUGUAUCUGGAAUAAACAAGUUUAAAGAA